GAUGAACGCUGGCGGCGUGCCUAAUACAUGCAAGUCGAGCGAACGGACGAGAAGCUUGCUUCUCUGAUGUUAGCGGCGGACGGGUGAGUAACACGUGGAUAACCUACCUAUAAGACUGGGAUAACUUCGGGAAACCGUAGCUAAUACCGGAUAAUAUUUUGAACCGCAUGGUUCAAAAGUGAAAGACGUUCUUGCUGUCACUUAUAGAUGAAUCCGCGCUGCAUUAGCUAGUUGGUAAGGUAACGGCUUACCAAGGCAACGAUGCAUAGCCGACCUGAGAGGGUGAUCGGCCACACUGGAACUGAGACACGGUCCAGACUCCUACGGGAGGCAGCAGUAGGGAAUCUUCCGCAAUGGGCGAAAGCCUGACGGAGCAACGCCGCGUGAGUGAUGAAGGUCUUCGGAUCGUAAAACUCUGUUAUUAGGGAAGAACAUAUGUGUAAGUAACUGUGCACAUCUUGACGGUACCUAAUCAGAAAGCCACGGCUAACUACGUG
rnacentral:rRNA from 1 species